UCCCUUAGGUCAGCGGCGGACGGGUGAGUAACACGUGGGUAACCUGCCUGUAAGACUGGGAUAACUCCGGGAAACCGGGGCUAAUACCGGAUGCUUGAUUGAACCGCAUGGUUCAAUCAUAAAAGGUGGCUUUUAGCUACCACUUACAGAUGGACCCGCGGCGCAUUAGCUAGUUGGUGAGGUAACGGCUCACCAAGGCGACGAUGCGUAGCCGACCUGAGAGGGUGAUCGGCCACACUGGGACUGAGACACGGCCCAGACUCCUACGGGAGGCAGCAGUAGGGAAUCUUCCGCAAUGGACGAAAGUCUGACGGAGCAACGCCGCGUGAGUGAUGAAGGUUUUCGGAUCGUAAAACUCUGUUGUUAGGGAAGAACAAGUACCGUUCGAAUAGGGCGGCACCUUGACGGUACCUAACCAGAAAGCCACGGCUAACUACGUGCCAGCAGCCGCGGUAAUACGUAGGUGGCAAGCGUUGUCCGGAAUUAUUGGGCGUAAAGCGCGCGCAGGCGGUUUCUUAAGUCUGAUGUGAAAGCCCCCGGCUCAACCGGGGAGGGUCAUUGGAAACUGGGGAACUUGAGUGCAGAAGAGGAGAGUGGAAUUCCACGUGUAGCGGUGAAAUGCGUAGAGAUGUGGAGGAACACCAGUGGCGAAGGCGACUCUCUGGUCUGUAACUGACGCUGAGGCGCGAAAGCGUGGGGAGCGAACAGGAUUAGAUACCCUGGUAGUCCACGCCGUAAACGAUGAGUGCUAAGUGUUAGAGGGUUUCCGCCCUUUAGUGCUGCAGCAAACGCAUUAAGCACUCCGCCUGGGGAGUACGGUCGCAAGACUGAAACUCAAAGGAAUUGACGGGGGCCCGCACAAGCGGUGG
rnacentral:rRNA from 1 species